UACGUAGGGUGCGAGCGUUGUCCGGAAUUAUUGGGCGUAAAGAGCUCGUAGGCGGUUUGUUGCGUCGGCCGUGAAAACCUGCAGCUUAACUGUGGGCCUGCGGCCGAUACGGGCAGACUUGAGUUCGGUAGGGGAGACUGGAAUUCCUGGUGUAGCGGUGAAAUGCGCAGAUAUCAGGAGGAACACCGAUGGCGAAGGCAGUUCUCUGGGCCGUAACUGACGCUGAGGAGCGAAAGCGUGGGGAGCGAACAGG
rnacentral:rRNA from 1 species